GAGUCUGCGUUCUCAUUAGCUAGUUGGUAGGGUAAUGGCCUACCAAGGCAACGAUGAGUAGCUGGUCUGAGAGGAUGAUCAGCCACACUGGAACUGAAACACGGUCCAGACUCCUACGGGAGGCAGCAGUGGGGAAUAUUGCGCAAUGGGCGAAAGCCUGACGCAGCAACGCCGUGUGAGGGAUGAAGGCUUUCGGGUCGUAAACCUCUGUCAGAAGGGAAGAACGGGCAUUGGUCUAAUAGGCCUUUGUUUUGACGGUACCUUCAGAGGAAGCACCGGCUAACUCCGUGCCAGCAGCCGCGGUAAUACGGAGGGUGCAAGCGUUAUUCGGAAUUACUGGGCGUAAAGCGCACGUAGGCGGCCUUGUAAGUCAGGGGUGAAAUCCCACGGCUCAACCGUGGAACUGCCUUUGAAACUGCAGGGCUUGAAUCCUGGAGAGGGUGGCGGAAUUCCUGGUGUAGGAGUGAAAUCCGUAGAUAUCAGGAGGAACACCGGUGGCG
rnacentral:rRNA from 1 species